CCACAUUUUACUGUUAUUGUAGUUUUAUUCUUGAGUACCCAUGUCUAGCGAAUAUGUUUCUUGUGAUAACUUAUGUAAUAGGUAUGUUGAUAUUGAAUGCCAUGAUGAAGUUACUUAUUUAUAAUGCAUCAAAAAUCCUUCAAUCUGAUUGAUUGAUUAUCGGGCGUUAUAAACACCCACCCUUGUUCAUCCGGCGAUAGAAAAAAUGUUGCCAAAUAUUCCCCAAAAUACAAAUGUUGGCAAAAUUAAAAAAAAAAAAAAAGAAAAAAAAAAGAA
rnacentral:lncRNA from 1 species